rnacentral:rRNA from 1 species
UACGGGGGGAGCAAGCGUUGUUCGGAUUUACUGGGCGUAAAGCGCACGUAGGCGGCUUUUCAAGUCCCAUGUGAAAGCCCACGGCUUAACCGUGGAAGUGCAUGGGAAACUGGAAAGCUUGAGUACUUAAGAGGAUCGCGGAAUUCCCGGUGUAGAGGUGAAAUUCGUAGAUAUCGGGAGGAACACCAGUGGCGAAGGCGGCUGACUGGUCCGGUUCUGACGCUGAGGCGCGGAAAGCGUGGGUACGCAAACAGG